CACAGUUCAUGUAGACUAUAAAUAAAAAAAGUCUUUCAGUAACAGAAGCAAAUCUUAAUACUUGAUUGAGAAACUAAAGUCCCUUGAUUCCAUUAAUCAUAUGACAAUAUAUAAAUAAUAUACAAGAAAACUCAAGUCAUGCCCUUCUUCUAUGACCUCCAACGUUUAAAUUGGUAAGGACAUAUACCAAGUAACUAUCCACUUAUAAACAUUAAUCUUUAAUAGCAGCAACCCCAUACACACAAAGAAACGUAUUAACGAGUAAUAACACCGUUUUGAUUAUUAAUUAGUUAUCGAACAAAAAAACAGUUCUUAUACAAACGAGUUACGAGUCAGUUCUUAUACAUAUAAAUAAAGGAGAAUUGUUUCAAAAUUAGUCUAGUAAAAAACCGAAAGAAACAAUAUAUAAACUGAUGUAUCCUCUAUAUACUAAAGCACAAGUCACAUGACCAAUAAAACUUAGACAUGUGGAAUAAGUUUUUAAAAAAAAAUUGAAAAACAAAAUCCUAUUUUCUACAAUUCCAACUACCUCAAAUCCUAAAAUUUCUCAAAAGUCUCUUUCCACGUUUUCUUUUCUAUUUAGCUUCUUCUCUAACUUUCCAUAGUUUCAAUAUUAUGGCUGUGAAUCUUUUUAAAAUGAUCAAAACAGUAAAGAACUUCUAACUUUUAUUGGUCUUCCUUUCUGUCAAUUUCUCACAGUCCCCUCAA
rnacentral:lncRNA from 1 species